rnacentral:rRNA from 1 species
CUACGGGGGGCUGCAGUCGAGAAUCUUCGGCAAUGGACGAAAGUCUGACCGAGCGACGCCGCGUGCGGGAUGAAGGCCUUCGGGUUGUAAACCGCUGUCAGAGGGAAGGAAAUUUUGACCGAUCCUCAAAGGAAGUACGGGCUAAGUUCGUGCCAGCAGCCGCGGUAAGACGAACCGUACAAACGUUAUUCGGAAUCACUGGGCUUAAAGGGUGCGUAGGUGGUCUAUUAAGUUGGGUGUGAAAUCCCUCGGCUCAACCGAGGAACUGCGCUCAAUACUGGUAGACUUGAGGGAGAUAGAGGUGAGCGGAACUGAUGGUGGAGCGGUGAAAUGCGUUGAUAUCAUCGGGAACACCUGUGGCGAAAGCGGCUCACUGGAUCUCUUCUGACACUGAGGCACGAAAGCUAGGAGAGCGAACGGGAUUAGAUACCCUCGUAGUC